GAUCUCUGCAUCGGCCAUUCAAGGUCGAGCUAGCUAGCAAUGGCGCGGUUCAACGGAGCCACUGUUUUCCUCAUCAUCAUCGCCACCGUGUCCGUCUACAGCUGCGCCAUCAUCGCCGGCGCCGCACUCGGCCGAACACUGGACAGCUCCGCGACGACUAAGCAGACGCCGUCGGACAGGACCCUCCGCGUCAGCGUCAGCUUCAGAGGCCUCGCCAAGGACUUCGCAAAGGAGCUCUGGGGUGGUAAUCACAGGGAAGGACGGUCAGGCAGAGCUCUCGCCGGUGCGGGUGACGCAACUGCGGUACUGUCAUCACCCCCCGCGAGCGUCUCGCUCUCACCACGAGCCAACAGGGCGGCCGCGGCGGAUCGCGAGUCAGCGCUGCAGCCCAUGCCAGUUGCCAACUACACGCAAGUGAACAGCAGGGUCAGGGAUGACGUCCACACAAGAGCAGCAGCGAGACCGUGGUCGAGGCACAGCAACUUCUCCGACGAGAUCACUGACGAGAAAAGGCCGGGAGGAAGAGGAGUGAUCAAGGUCGGGCCGUGGGGAGGAUCCGGCGGGGCACCUUUCUACAUGCGCGGCGGCCGCGGCGUGAGCGCCCCUCGCGUGCGCAGUGUCACCCUGCAGUACACCGACAACGCCAUCCAUUCCUUCUACCAAAGCUCAGACGAGCCCGUGGUGAAGCUGACGCUGGAACGAGCAGAAGGCGGUGGCCAAAGUAGAGCUCGUUUAACGAUUGAUGAGUUCGUGAUGUACGAAAAGAGAAUGCCUUAGAAAGACCGGUCAUACGAAAGAGCACUUAUUACUAUUGAAAUAUUAUGGUGACGAUGUUUAGCAGUCAUAAAAGGGAGAGAAAACGAAGGUUAAAAAUACUUCAAAGGAAUAGGACUGGAGGCUACCAUAGAACCUACAGGGUCUAGGAACACAGGAAUAAGAGAAAGUAGACUGUUCGGAUCACAGCAGCCUUAAGGGUUUUUAAAUUGGCCACAAGGCAGCUUUGUCUCUAUCUCUCACCCCAUCACGUCACACAUCAGCUCAUUUUAAUUAGCUCUGCAUGCUGACUGCCACGAUCAGAGCACCUCGUCUCGGUCUUCCGCGAAAAACAUGAGCUCCGGGCAGAUUUUUCAAUUCCUGUGGAAUCGGCAUCGAAAGGACAGGUUUCCUUUGGAUCACUGUAGGUCAUUCCUGCGUUUCGAACACCACAAAGGAAAAUAAACCUUCAUGAACAGUAUUCCUUCAUGAUUCCUGCAAAAAUCCUAUGAACCGAACGGAGCCUGAAUAUGGUCCAGUUAGUGGCGUAUUAUUCCUUGCAUUCAACACGUGUGUAUAACACCUCGACGAUGUGUUAUUCUAUAUUGAAGUUUUAAUGAACCUGAACUCUUCUGAUUA